UGGCUCUUAACCUUACGAUUUAUCUCAAAUUUCAUCUUUCACUAAUAAACAUAGUUCACUAUUUGAUUGGCACUAGUAAACCUUGCAAUCUGACUAUAAUUAUUCAUCCAACUCAAAGUGAAUAAGUGAUUAUUUAAUGCCGUAGAAAAGUUCAUCGAAAUUUAACGCAUUUGGAUGAGGAUCGAACGGAUUACCAGUUGAAUUCAAAGAAGUUUUUAUGUAGUUCGUUUUCUCGAUUACUAAACAAGGAAAGAUCAUGAUCAGCUCAAUUCCCUCUCCCUCCCCGUUGAAUCAGUUGACGUCCGCUCUCUCUUUUCGCGCUAAAAGUAAGACGAAGGGGCCAGCAAUUUCUGCUCGUCUUGACGAUUCUAAGAACUCAGCUAAUCAGCAACUCAAUCUCUCUGUCCUCCGGUUCACACUCGGGAUUCCUGGGUUGGAUGAGUCUUACUUACCCAGAUGGAUUGGAUAUGGAUUUGGUUCACUUCUUCUAUUGAAUCACUUUGUUGGUUCGAAUUCAGCUGCUCUCACCACCCCAGCACAAUUAAGAACUGAGGCUUUAGGCAUUUCCUUGGCAGCAUUUUCUAUUGCACUCCCCUACUUGGGAAAGUUUCUUAAGGGUGCACUUCCAUCUGGCGAAGCUAUCCUCCCUGAAGGCACUGAGCAAAUAUUUCUCUUGUCACAAAUAUUAUCGGAUAACUUGAAGGAAGACAUUGCUUGGGCAACAUACAUCUUGCUGCGCAACACAAACAGUAUAUCAGUGCUAAUUCAGACUCAAGGGGCAUUGUGUGUUCGAGGAUACUGGAAUAGUCCAAAUGAUAUAUCAUCAGCAGAUUUACUUGCCUGGUUUGAGGAGCAGCUUCAGAGCAUUGGCCUGUCUGCAUUAAAGGAUGCCGUCUAUUUCCCUCAGAUUUCAGGUUUUCAGCACUAUUUUCCAGAAUCUGGACUGUGGCAAAUGCUGCCCAAGGGCACUCGCUCGGUUUUGGUACAGCCAGUGGUUCAAAAUCUAAAGCAAAGUGGCAAUGAGGUGCAAAACAUGGGAGGAUUCAUACUGCUGGCCUCAAGUUUAAGUUAUGCAUUUAGUGAUAAAGAUAGAGCCUGGAUAAGAGCUGUUGCCAACAAGUUUGAUGACAGAGCCAUCCUCUGAUAUUCAUGUGGACCUAAGUAGUAAAUCUAUUCGAUAUUCUUUUUGACAAUUGACAUGUGCAUUUCUCUGAGUUAAAGAUGGUAACAGAUCUUGACGUGAGAACUUCGACAUGUUGCAGCAUCAAAAUCUCUUGAGAACCUUGGGUUUCCCCUGAUACUAACUCAAGUCCUUUUCUCAAAUGUCAAGAUGGUCACUCUGUCCAAUGAAAAGUGGAGGUGAAAGUUUCAGAUAGAGCUACCAGGGGAGAGUCUUCGAAGUUCUACAAAAAUUUCUCCAAGCCAUACACCAGAUUCUGUCAGCACAGAAAGGCAGCGGUUUGACAUUUUCAAUACAGGAUGAAGAAAAUCAUUCAAGAAAAACUGGAGAUGUAUGUACUGUCAUGUACUGAAGUACCUUAAGGCGCACCACUUUUCUAAUUGCCAAUAAUAAGCCUGGCAUGAGGCAUUGCACAUUUAUGAUAUCAUGUUUGAGAGUGUAAACCUGUGAUGCAAGCGAUGAUAAGUGUCGGAGAAUGACAAAACCUACCACUCUGGUUACAAAAUGAGUACGAAAGAUUAAACUAACCAGUUCCACAUCUCGAACUCGCGCCACUUCUUUCAAUUUUAGUUAAACAAGAACGCAAACACAAGCUAGAACUCACCUCUCCCGGGCGUGAGAAGUAGACAUUGGUGCUGGAAGGAAGCCCCGGAAGGACUAGACUGUGCACUCGAACUCCGUCUUCUCCAAUAACCUGCCCCCUUGCCUAGCAGGCGAAAAGGAAACAAUAAGCAAGCUAGUAUUUUUUAAAUGGACGUCUAAAUUUGAUGCUUUAGUCAUCAUGAAUUUUCAUAAUCUCUCUGGAAGUUCUAUGAAAAUCUUGUAGACAUGGUUAGGUCCGUGUUGGCCAAAUUUCUUUAAUUCAUGUCACAGUAAUCAGUUUUUCUUAUCCACAUUCUUUGACUUUAUAUGAUAAUAGUCAUAUGAUGUGAAAGUAAAAAGAAUAGUAGCUGGUACAGCAUUCUCAUAUUUUA